rnacentral:lncRNA from 1 species
AAGGUUGAGGAUGAACACGGAUGCGGCCACUUUCAUUUUUGACAAAAACCAUCUGAAAAAUGACAUUUUUCGGCAUAUUUGGUAGAUUUUUCAUAUUUGAGCUUGAAUCGGAUCGUUUUAAAUGACUAAAUCAGUUAAAAUCUUUCGCACAAACUAAUUGAUUCAAAUGAAAUAGACAAUUAAGUGUUUAAAAAGUGGUUAAAAUCUUUCGUCAGAUGAACCUGAAAUUUGAGGCCAAAAUCGGUCCUUACCGGACC